rnacentral:rRNA from 1 species
CCUACGGGUGGCAGCAGUGAGGAAUAUUGGUCAAUGGACGAGAGUCUGAACCAGCCAAGUAGCGUGAAGGAUGACUGCCCUAUGGGUUGUAAACUUCUUUUAUAUGGGAAUAAAACGUUCCACGUGUGGGAUUUUGUAUGUACCAUAAGAAUCAGCAUCGGCUAACUCCGUGCCAGCAGCCGCGGUAAUACGGAGGAUCCGAGCGUUAUCCGGAUUUAUUGGGUUUAAAGGGAGCGUAGGUGGAGUGUUAAGUCAGUUGUGAAAGUUUGCGGCUCAACCGUAAAAUUGCAGUUGAAACUGGCAGUCUUGAGUACAGUAGAGGUGGGCGGAAUUCGUGGUGUAGCGGUGAAAUGCUUAGAUAUCACGAAGAACUCCGAUUGCGAAGGCAGUUCACUGGACUGCAACUGACACUGAGGCUCGAAAGUGUGGGUAUCAAACAGGAUUAGAUACCCUUGUAGUC